rnacentral:snRNA from 1 species
AUCUCUGCGCUUGGGGCAAUGACAAAGUCAGUGAGGUGAAACCAAGACGUGUCAAUUGCUGGUUGAAACUAUUUCCACAUUUUAAUGAAAGAUCUAAAGUGAUUGUAUAAUUAAAAAAUGUAUCAAAUUUGCUAUUCAUACAUAUGA